UACGUAGGGUGCGAGCGUUAAUCGGAAUUACUGGGCGUAAAGCGUGUGCAGGCGGUGAUGUAAGACCGAUGUGAAAUCCCCGGGCUUAACCUGGGAACUGCAUUGGUGACUGCAUUGCUGGAGUAUGGCAGAGGGGGGUGGAAUUCCACGUGUAGCAGUGAAAUGCGUAGAGAUGUGGAGGAACACCGAUGGCGAAGGCAGCCCCCUGGGCCAAUACUGACGCUCAUGCACGAAAGCGUGGGGAGCAAACAGG
rnacentral:rRNA from 1 species